rnacentral:rRNA from 1 species
GAUGAACGCUGGCGGCGUGCCUAAUACAUGCAAGUCGAGCGAACAGACGAGGUGCUUGCUCCUCUGACGUUAGCGGCGGACGGGUGAGUAACACGUGGAUAACCUACCUAUAAGACUGGGAUAACUUCGGGAAACCGGAGCUAAUACCGGAUAAUAUAUUGAACCGCAUGGUUCAAUAGUGAAAGACGGUUUUGCUGUCACUUAUAGAUGGAUCCGCGCCGCAUUAGCUAGUUGGUAAGGUAACGGCUUACCAAGGCAACGAUGCGUAGCCGACCUGAGAGGGUGAUCGGCCACACUGGAACUGAGACACGGUCCAGACUCCUGAGGGAGGCAGCAGUAGGGAAUCGUCCGCAAUGGGCGAAAGCCUGACGGGGCAACGCCGCGUGAGUGAUGAAGGUCUUCGGAUCGUAAAACUCUGUUAUGAGGGAAGAACAAAUGUGUAAGUAACUAUGCACGUCUUGACGGUACCUAAUCAGAAAGCCACGGCUAACUACGUG